UACGAAGGGGGCUAGCGUUGCUCGGAAUCACUGGGCGUAAAGCGCACGUAGGCGGAUUGUUAAGUCAGGGGUGAAAUCCUGGAGCUCAACUCCAGAACUGCCUUUGAUACUGGCGAUCUCGAGUCCGGGAGAGGUGAGUGGAACUGCGAGUGUAGAGGUGAAAUUCGUAGAUAUUCGCAAGAACACCAGUGGCGAAGGCGGCUCACUGGCCCGGUACUGACGCUGAGACGCGAAAGCGUGGG
rnacentral:rRNA from 1 species